CCUACGGGAGGCAGCAGUGAGGAAUAUUGGUCAAUGGGCGCGAGCCUGAACCAGCCAAGUAGCGUGAAGGAUGACUGCCUUACGGGUUGUAAACGUCUUUUUUAAAGGAAUACAGUGAGGCACGUGUGCCUUUUUGUAUGUACUUUAUGAAUAAGGAUCGGCUAACUUCGUUCCAUCAGCCGCGGUAAUACGGUGGAUCCGAGCGUUAUCCGGUUUUAUUGGGUUUAAAGGGAGCGUAGAUGGGUUGUUAAGUCAGUUGUGAAAGUUUGCGGCCCAAACGUAGAAUUGCAAUUGAUACUGGCAGUCUUGAGUUCAGUUGAGGUAGGCGGAAUUCGUGGUGUAGCGGUGAAAUGCUUAGAUAUAACGAAGAACUCCGAUUGCGAAGGCAGCUUACUAAACUGCCACUGACAUUGAUGCUCGAAAGUGUGGGUAUCAAACAGGAUUAGAUACCCCUGUAGUC
rnacentral:rRNA from 1 species